GACCCGUAGCAAACAGCUCAGUAACACGUGGCCAAACUACCCUAUGGACGAGGACACCCUCGGGAAACUGAGGCUAAUCCACGAUACGGCUCCCACGCUGGAAUGCGGGGAGCCGGAAACGCUCCGGCGCCAUAGGAUGCGGCUGCGGCCGAUUAGGUAGACGGUGGGGUAACGGCCCACCGUGCCGAUAAUCGGUACGGGAUGUGAGAGCAAAUAGCCCGGAGAUGGAAUCUGAGACAAGAUUCCAGGCCCUACGGGGCGCAGCAGGCGCGAAACCUUUACACUGCACGCCAGUGCGAUAAGGGGACCCCGAGUGCGAGGGCAUACAGUCCUCGCUUUUGUACACCGUAAGGAGGUGUACGAAUAAGGGCUGGGCAAGACCGGUGCCAGCCGCCGCGGUAAUACCGGCAGCCCGAGUGAUGGCCGCUGUUAUUGGGCCUAAAGCGUCCGUAGCCGGCCGAACAAGUCUGUCGGGAAAUCCAUCCGCCUAACGGAUGGGCGUCCGGCAGAAACUGUUCGGCUUGGGGCCGGAAGAUCCGAGGGGUACGUCCGGGGUAGGAGUGAAAUCCUGUAAUCCUGGACGGACCGCCGGUGGCGAAAGCGCCUCGGAAGGACGGACCCGACGGUGAGGGACGAAAGCUGGGGUCUCGAACCGGAUUAGAUACCCGGGUAGUCCCAGCCGUAAAC
rnacentral:rRNA from 1 species